AGACAGGACAACGACCAGGGACAGCGAGCAGGAGUAUCAGUCAGCUGGUUGCUGCCGCUGCUACAACCGACCCAGCCACAGCUGGAAUACCCUCAACCUGGGCAGUGACUACUGUGCUCUACACAGUCAGCGGCUGAAGGGCAGUCUCGUGCCAGCCAUUGAAAAUGCUCACGGCACACAUCCCUGCUGACCUUCCCCAAGACCAUGGAGAGGCAGCUGAGUCCUUAGUUUGAGGAAGACAGGAUAACAGCCUGUUCCCGCUGCUAGAGGCCAGUGAGAUGGAGAGGCUUGCAGAGGUCACUGAUCAAUGGACUCUCAAGCUCAGCAGUGGUGGCCCAGGACUUUAAUUCUAGGACUCAGAAGGCAGAGGCGGGCAGAGUUCGAGGCCAACCUGGUGGUCUACAGAGCAACGGGACAGCUGGGAGUAUGCAGUGAAACCCUACCUCGAAAAGACAAACAAACAAACGAAAUAUCAUAGAUUCUCCAUCUAUGACACCGCUUGACACCAUCGGGCGGAACGCACAACAGUAAACGCCCCCGCCGCGACCAAUCAGCGAUUGCCGCACACCUCUGCCUUGGCCAAUCCACAGCGGUUUUGCAGUUCCACCCCUUACCUAGGGUGUGGGGAAGCUGGGGCGCCCCGUGCCCAACCUGGGGAGUGUCCAGAGCCU
ensembl:processed_transcript